rnacentral:lncRNA from 1 species
UGGAAUCAAAUUUCCUUCCCCUGGAAUGUGGGCUCCUUCUAACAAAUAAACAAAAACAGGCAGAAGUGACAGUGUGAGGUUUAGGAGGUUAGGGCAUAAAAGGCACUGCGGCUCCCACUUUGCACUCUUGGAUCACUCACUCGGGGGAAGCCAAGUCACAAGGACACUUAAGCAGCCCUAUGGGGAGGCCCAUGUGGCAAGAAAUUGAAGCCUCCCGCUGACAGCCAGCGAGCAGUAGAGACUUCCUGCCGAUAGCCAUGUGAGUGAGUCAUCUCGGAAAUCAAGCCCCAGUCUAGCCUUCAGAUGACUGCAGCCCUGGCAGCCAUCUAACUACAACCUCACCAGAGAUCCUGAGUCAGGACCACCUGGCUAGCUGCUCCUGGAUCCCUGACCAUCAGAAACCAGGAAAACUCUCAUUGAGCCCGUUUCACGGAUGAGACGGCUGAUGCUCAGAGAGCCUGAGUUGGAUCCUGUCGUCAAGGAGUUGGAGCCGCUGAGACUUGGCUGACUCAGCCCAACGGACCUGGCUGGCUCUGGUCUCUGGCAGAAGGCGAGCCUCCCUGCUCUGUAAUUGGACUCCUUACUCCCCAUCCCCACUCUUCCAGGGGAGGCCCCAGGGGGCCACCUAGCCACCCACCCACAGGGCAGCCUCCUCCUCAGCUUGGAACCUGGACCCUGGCUCAACUUGAAUUCUGGGCCUCCACUGGUCUUUCUCUCAGGAGCUGCAUUUUCACUCUGAAGCAUUAUGAAUGUGUCUCUCUCACCACACUGGAGCUUCCAGGGUACGAGGUCCUUUCUUGUUCCGUCUCUACAUCUUCAGCCACUGUCAGGGCACCUGGCGCACAACAGGCACCCACCAGAGGUUUGUUGAGCUGCAGUGAAUUUGAUGCAGCUCCUGGACUCCAGGAUUUACUAAUGGAAUGAAGGGGAUGGGCUAGUGCAGCCCAGAGACAUCUCUGGAUCCAAGAGAACCAGCCCCACUGGAGCCCGUCUGGAACCCAGAGGAGGAAGGAGAGAGGGGAACCUAGCCCCGCCCUAGUGUGUAACAAGCGCUGCUUAAGUGCGUCUCGUGUAGAGUUUCUGCUCCUCCUCACCAUGACUGUCAGAGAUAGGUGGCAUCACCCACACCUGAGAACAACGGAAAUGAGGCUCAGAGAGGUAAGGCCUGGGGUGUGGGUUUCCAGCUCCAGGGUUUCCACAUCUCUUAAAGCCAUGGCACCUGUGGUUAAAUGGUAACAUUCUACUCAGAAGUUUAAUAUGUCAAGCUGGUAAAGUGGAAAGGCUCCGGUGAAAGAGGGACAUUGGGACCCUGUAUGGCCGCAGAGGAGUUGGGGGACCAGGACAGAGCUGGCAAGAGUGGUGACUGACUUGGAGAAGGGGACAGUGGUAAGGAGCUUGGGGCAGUAAGUGCUAUGUAGUUCACAAACCUCAGACUUUCUUGGGGCCACCUCACGGAGAGACAAUGAGGCUCGUGUGGUAGAGAUGAUGAGGGAGGUGGAGGAAUGGGGUGAAGCCUGCGUGAUCAUCAUUAGCUGUCCAAUUCUCGCCUGCCCCGUUUAGCAAAAGGAGAAUUAAUUAUGUGCAAGGGAUGCCCCCUUAAUGG